rnacentral:lncRNA from 1 species
AGAAGAUAAUGGAAUGCUAUCUCUAGAGUACUGAAAGAAACUAAAGGCCAACGUGUGAAAAACAAUCUUCAGAAAUGAACGUUAAAUGAUGACAUUUUCAAACAAACAAGCAACAAAAAGAAGCAAAAAGUAAACAAAAAACAAAAAUUCACAUAAUUUAUUGCUAGGAGUUUUACACUGAAAUGCUGAAGGGAUUUCUACUAGCAAAAGUAAAAAUGAUCUCAUUUGAAAAGAUGGAAAUUCAAGGAGGGAAUGAAGAAUACUGGAUGGGUAAAUGUGUUGGUAACUGUAAAUGAAUACUGACUACACAAAAUUAUGUUGAAUAACUGAAAGAUGAAAACACAAUCACUUGAAGGAGAAAUGUAUGGUCAAACUGCAUGCAGGAAAAACUUCUAUAAAAGAGUUACUUCAUGCUCUGGGUUGGCAGAUACAAUGAGCAGGAGUGCAUCAGAAGUAAUCAAGAAGGUGAUUAGUUGGUGUACUUCAGCAGGAGCAACCAGAUGAAUUGGCUUCUCUAUAUCCCCGUAUUAGCCACAAGCUAGGCAGCAGCCUGCAGGUGGGAGCAAUGCCUAUGCAUGUAUGGAUCAGUGUGCUACAUACAGUCACGUUGACAGCAUGAACCUUCGAUGUGAUGUGAGGAAAAUGGCAUUCUACCUCUGUGUUCUUCCUCCCCAAAAUUUGUAACCACCAUCUAAUCAUGAGGAAAACAUCAUACAAGUCCAAAUUGAGGAAGAUUCUACAAAAUGCCUGAUUAAUAUUCAUCGAAACUGUCAAGGUCAUCAAAAGCAAGGAAAGUCUGAGAAACUGCCACAGCCUAAAGACAAUCCAGGGAAACGUGAUGACUCAGUGGUAUUCGGGGUGGGUUUCUGGAACAGCAAAAGGACAACAGGUAAAAUCUAAGAACAUACGAAUAAAGUGUGAACUUUAAUUAAUAA